AACGAACGCUGGCGGCAGGCUUAACACAUGCAAGUCGAACGCCCCGCAAGGGGAGUGGCAGACGGGUGAGUAACGCGUGGGAAUCUACCCAUCUCUGCGGAAUAGCUCCGGGAAACUGGAAUUAAUACCGCAUACGCCCUACGGGGGAAAGAUUUAUCGGGGAUGGAUGAGCCCGCGUUGGAUUAGCUAGUUGGUGGGGUAAAGGCCUACCAAGGCGACGAUCCAUGGCUGGUCUGAGAGGAUGAUCAGCCACAUUGGGACUGAGACACGGCCCAAACUCCUACGGGAGGCAGCAGUGGGGAAUAUUGGACAAUGGCGCAAGCCUGAUCCAGCCAUGCCGCGUGAGUGAUGAAGGCCUUAGGGUUGUAAAGCUCUUUCACCGGUGAAGAUAAUGACGGUAACCGGAGAAGAAGCCCCGGCUAACUUCGUGCCAGCCGCCGCAGUAA
rnacentral:rRNA from 1 species